GCCAGGCAUGGUGGCGCAUGCCUGUAGUCCCAGCUACACGGGAGGCUGAGGCUGGAGGAUCACUUAACUCCAGGAGUUCUGGGCUGUAGUGUGCUAUGCCAAUUGGUUGUCCGCACCAAGUUCAGCAUCAAUAUGGUGACCUCCCAGGAGCAGGGGACCACCAGGUUGCCUAAGGAGGGGUGAACCGGCCCAGGUCGGAAAUGGAGCAGGUCAAAACUCCCGUGCUGAUCAGUAGUGGGAUCGCGCCUGUGAACAGCCACUGCACUCCAGCCUGGGUCACAAGAGAGAAACUCUGUCUCA
rnacentral:SRP_RNA from 1 species